AUAAAAUACAACAUGUUUUGGUGCAUAUGCACUGCAGAAAUCCAAAUCUGACCAAGUGUAUUUUUCUUAAUUCUAGUCCAAAUAUCUCAUCACACUUAAAAUAAGACAGAAUCACCUUAAGAGUAA